CACGUAGUUGGCCGGUGCUUCUUCUGUACCUACCGUCACCACCAUCAUCGGCGCUUCGUCGGUACUGAAAGAGGUUUACAACCCGAAGGCCGUCAUCCCUCACGCGGCGUUGCUGGAUCAGGCUUCCGCCCAUUGUCCAAUAUUCCCCACUGCUGCCUCCCGUAGGAGUCUGGGCCGUGUCUCAGUCCCAGUGUGGCCGGUCACCCUCUCAGGCCGGCUACCCGUCGAAGCCUUGGUAGGCCAUUACCCCACCAACAAGCUGAUAGGCCGCGAGCACAUCCCUGGCCGAAAAAACUUUCCACACAGAGUGCAUGCACACCUGUGUCGUAUCCGGUAUUAGCCACCGUUUCCGGUAGUUACUCCCAAAGCCAAGGGCAGAUUACUCACGUGUUACUCACCCGUUCGCCGCUCGAGUACCCCGAAAGGCCUUUCGCUCGACUUGCAUGUGUUAAGCACGCCGCCAGCGUUCGUCCUGAGCCAGGAUACAACUCU
rnacentral:rRNA from 1 species